rnacentral:rRNA from 1 species
UUGGAGGGCAAGUCUGGUGCCAGCAGCCGCGGUAAUUCCAGCUCCAAUAGCGUAUAUUAAAGUUGUUGCAGUUAAAAAGCUCGUAGUUGAAUUUCGGGGUCAGUAGGUUGGUCAUGCCACUGGUAUGUACUGGUCUCACUGAUUCCUCCUUCCUGAUGAGCUGUAAUGCCAUUAAUUUGGUGUUGCGGGGAAUCUGGACUGUUACUUAGAAAAAUUAGAGUGUUUAAAGCAGGCUUUAGCUUGAAUACAUUAGCAUGGAAUAAUGAAAUAGGACGUUCGAACCUAUUUUGUUGGUUUCUAGGAUCAACGUAAUGAUUAAUAGGGAUAGUUGGGGGCAUUACUAUUCAAUUGUCAGAGGUGAAAUUCUUGGAUUUAUUGAAGACUAACUACUGCGAAAGCAUUUGCCAAGGAUGUUUUCAUUAAUCAAGAACGAAAGUUAGGGGAUCGAAGACGAUCAGAUACCGUCGUAGUCUUAACCAUAAACUAUGCCGACUAGGGGAUCGGAUGAUGUUAAUUUUUAAUGACUCA